GCCGGGGUGGCGGAAUUGGCAGACGCACUGGACUCAAAAUCCAGCGGGACUCAAAUCCCGUAAGGGUUCGACCCCCUUUCCCGGCA
rnacentral:tRNA from 1 species